rnacentral:rRNA from 1 species
GAUGAACGCUGGCGGCGUGCCUAAUACAUGCAAGUCGAGCGAACGGACGAGAAGCUUGCUUCUCUGAUGUUAGCGGCGGGCGGGUGAGUAACACGUGGAUAACCUACCUAUAAGACUGGGAUAACUUCGGGAAACCGUAGCUAAUACCGGAUAAUAUUUUGAACCGCAUGGUUCAAAAGUGAAAGACGGUCUUGCUGUCACGUAUAGAUGGAUCCGCGCUGCAUUAGCUAGUUGGUAAGGUAACGGCUUACCAAGGCAACGAUGCAUAGCCGACCGGAGAGGGUGGGCAGCCACACUGGGACGGAGACCGGGUCCAGACUCCUACGGGAAGGACCAGGAGGGAAUCUGCCGGCAUGGGCGAAAACCUGACGGAACAACGCCGCGGGAGGGAGGAAGGUCUUCGGAUCCUAAAACUCUGUUAUUAGGGAAGAACAUAUGUGUAAGUAACUGUGCACAUCUUGACGGUACCUAAUCAGAAAGCCACGGCUAACUACGUG